CUUUCCCGUCGGUGCUGGGAUCCCUGGCCACAGGCUACCGACGCGCUCCAUCUGCCUGAAACCCCGCUCGGGUCCUGUCUUUCCUCUUUCUGGGAGCUUCCGUUUUUUCCUGCCCACGGAAGGAGCUUGGAGGCGAGAUCUCUUACUAGCAGCGCCCACUCCCAGCCGCAGCGAAGCCAGGGUGAAUCCACCCACAGCACCUCCCUGUCGCUGGGUACCUGCAUUCGUGCAUUCACCAACACUGAGUUCUUGUGUCAAACUCCGUGCCAAGCACCUCGCGGGCAUCAUCUCAUCAAAUCCUCCAAUCACUGGGCAUUGCUUUUUAUUUUGUUUUGUUUACACUCCUCUUAGCUCAUACCUAUGGGCAUUAUUUUUAAUCUCCAUUUUCCGGUGGAAAAACCAAGUCUCGGAGAUAUUGGAAAUAGCACUAGACUUACCUUCAGGCAGCGUAGCAUCCGUUAGCUAAUGUUCAGUAUUCUGUCACUUUUAUGUGUAAGCCGUUAUUCUGUCCCCUGGAGCUACGACCAUGUACAAGGCAGAAUCUCAUCUUGCUUAUGGGCGCUCAGAGUUUAGAAGUUUCUAAGCCCCAAAUCUGAUACGAAUAUACUGUGGGACCGACUCUGGUCUCAGUAUCUCCUUCCUGGAGUCCGUAUUUAUUAAAGCGGUCCCAGGUCAGUUUUUGCUCAACUUUCUUUGUUAAUAGGAGAUACUGCUUUUCUUUUUCUUUUUUCUUUUCUUUUCUUUUUUUUUUUUU
rnacentral:lncRNA from 10 species